UUUUAUAAAGAGCUCAUAGAAUCAUAGAAUCAUUUGGGUUGGAAGGGACCUUCAAAGCUCAUUUAGCUCCAACCCACUGCAAUGAGCAGGGACAUCUUCAACUAGAUCAGGUUGCCCAGAGUCCGUUGGUUCAUGGGAUUUUUAUUAGCAGCUUUGUGUGGACUCUGAAAGGUUUCCUGGUGUGUUCCUGAACCUGAUUACAUUUCCCCCUUUCCUGACUACAUUACAGGCUGGUUUUGUGCACAGGUUUGGCAAACUGAGCUCUUCAGUUGCUUGUGCUAACUUAUUUUUCCUGUAAAUACAGUAUUCUUUUUGCAGCCUGCUCUGGAAGGAAUCCUCCUCCAUCUCUUAUUUACACCAUUCCCAGCUGCUGUAUUUCUCAGGUGCAGCUCUUUUGCUUUUAUGAGUACUUUCCUCCUUGCAAGCAGCUGACCUCUACCCAACCCAUCUCACACACAGCAGGCUGAAGAGCGCCGUGAAAGAUGUUUCUGCUUCUAACACAAAAUGUAUCCAAAAGGAAAGAAGAGGAAGUUGGAGGCAAGACCUGCCAGCUGAUGUUACCUCUCCUGGUCAC